GUAGCUCAGUGGUAGAGCAUCUGCCUUGCAUGCAAAACACCCCAGAUUCAAUCCCCAGCAUCUCCA